rnacentral:rRNA from 1 species
UACGUAGGGGGCAAGCGUUGUCCGGAUUUACUGGGUGUAAAGGGGGCGCAGACGGCGAUGCAAGCCAGGAGUGAAAGCCCGGGGCCCAACCCCGGGACUGCUCUUGGAACUGCGUGGCUGGAGUGCAGGAGGGGCAGGCGGAAUUCCUGGUGUAGCGGUGAAAUGCGUAGAUAUCAGGAGGAACACCGGUGGCGAAGGCGGCCUGCUGGACUGCAACUGACGUUGAGGCCCGAAAGCGUGGGGAGCAAACAGG